ACUCCUACGGGAGGCAGCAGUAGGGAAUAUUGGGCAAUGGACGAGAGUCUGACCCAGCCAUGCCGCGUGCAGGAAGAAGGCGUUCUGCGUUGUAAACUGCUUUUAUCUGGGAAGAAAAGGCCCAUGCGUGGGACAUUGCCGGUACCAGAUGAAUAAGCACCGGCUAACUCCGUGCCAGCAGCCGCGGUAAUACGGAGGGUGCAAGCGU
rnacentral:rRNA from 2 species